rnacentral:rRNA from 1 species
GUCUUUUUGAAUUUAAUUUAAAGUCUAAUCUGCCCAAUGAUUUUUUUUUUUAAUGGCCGCAGUAUUUUAACUGUGCAAAGGUAGCAUAAUCAUUAGUUUUUUAAUUGAAGACUUGUAUGAAUGAUUGGACAAAAAAUAUGCUGUCUCAAUUUAAUUAAAUAAAAUUUUAUUUUUUAGUUAAAAAGCUAAAAUAAAUUUAAAAGACGAGAAGACCCUAUAGAUCUUUAUAUUUAUGAAUAUAUUAUAUUUAUAAGAAUUAAUUUUAUUAAUAUAUUUUAUAAUAUUUUGUUGGGGUGACAUUAGAAUUUAAUUAACUUCUAAUAAUUUAUAAACAAAAAUUUUUGAUUUAUAUUGAUCCUUUAUUAUGGAUAAAAAAUUUAAGUUACCUUAGGGAUAACAGCGUAAUUAUUUCGGAGAGUUCUUAUUGAUGAAAUAGAUUGCGACCUCGAUGUUGGAUUAAGAUUAAUUCUGGGUGUAGCAGUUCAGAAUAUUAAGUCUGUUCGACUUUUAAAUUCUU